rnacentral:tRNA from 1 species
CCGGAUAGUGUCGAAGAGUUAGCGGGUGCAAGUACACAAGACCUCAGCGCAAUUACUGGAAAUUUAGCGAUUGCUG